GAUGAACGCUGGCGGCGUGCCUAAUACAUGCAAGUCGAGCGAACGGACGAGAAGCUUGCUUCUCUGAUGUUAGCGGCGGACGGGUGAGUAACACGUGGAUAACCUACCUAUAAGACUGGGAUAACUUCGGGAAACCGGAGCUAAUACCGGAUGAUAUUUUGAACCGCAUGGUUCAAAAGUUAAAGACGGUCUUGCUGUCACUUAUAGAUGGAUCCGCGCUGCAUUAGCUAGUUGGUAAGGUAACGGCUUACCAAGGCAACGAUGCAUAGCCGACCUGAGAGGGUGAUCGGCCACACUGGAACUGAGACACGGUCCCGACUCCUACGGGAGGCAGCAGUAGGGAAUCUUCCGCAAUGGGCGAAAGCCUGACGGAGCAACGCCGCGUGAGUGAUGAAGGUCUUCGGAUCGUAAAACUCUGUUAUUAGGGAAGAACAUAUGUGUAAGUAACUGUGCACAUCUUGACGGUACCUAAUCAGAAAGCCACGGCUAACUACGUG
rnacentral:rRNA from 1 species